UACGUAGGGGGCGAGCGUUGUCCGGAAUCAUUGGGCGUAAAGCGCGUGUAGGCGGCCCGGUAAGUCCGCUGUGAAAGUCCAGGGCUCAACCCUGGGAUGCCGGUGGAUACUGUCGGGCUCGAGUCCGGAAGAGGCGAGUGGAAUUCCUGGUCGUAGCGGUGAAAUGCGCAGAGUAUCAGGAGGAACACCAAUGGCGAAGGCAGCUCGCUGGGACGUGAACUGACGCUGGAGACGCGAAAGCGUGGGGAGCAAACAGGAUUAGAUACCCCGUGU
rnacentral:rRNA from 1 species